GUACCCUCAAGCUUUGCUUGGUGAUGGGUGUUUGUCCUGUCCUUUUGCGACUGGACUCGCCUUAAAGUUAUUGGCAGCCGGCAUAUAGGCCUUUGGAGCGCAGCACAAUUUGCGAUCUAAGUCUCUAUUCUGGCGUCCAUCAAGCCUUUUUAUCAC
rnacentral:misc_RNA from 1 species